UACGAGGGGGGCAAGUGUUGUUCGGAAUUACUGGGCGUAAAGGGAGCGUAGGCGGGCUCUUAAGUUGGAUGUUUAAAACCGGGGCCUAACCCCGGCGUGGCAUCCAAAACUGGGAGUCUUGAAUGGGACAGAGGCCAGGUGGAAUUAGAGGUGUAGCGGUGGAAUGCGUAGAUAUCUCUAAGAACACCAGUUGCGAAGGCGGCUGGCUGGGUCCACAUUGACGCUGAGGCUCGAAAGCGUGGGGAGCAAACAGG
rnacentral:rRNA from 1 species